GAUGAACGCUGGCGGCGUGCCUAAUACAUGCAAGUCGAGCGAACAGACGAGGAGCUUGCUCCUCUGACGUUAGCGGCGGACGGGUGAGUAACACGUGGAUAACCUACCUAUAAGACUGGGAUAACUUCGGGAAACCGGAGCUAAUACCGGAUAAUAUAUUGAACCGCAUGGUUCAAUAGUGAAAGACGGUUUUGCUGUCACUUAUAGAUGGAUCCGCGCCGCAUUAGCUAGUUGGUAAGGUAACGGCUUACCAAGGCAACGAUGCGUAGCCGACCUGAGAGGGUGAUCGGCCACACUGGAACUGAGACACGGUCCAGACUCCUACGGGAGGCAGCAGUAGGGAAUCUUCCGCAAUGGGCGAAAGCCUGACGGAGCAACGCCGCGUGAGUGAUGAAGGGCUUCGGAUCGUAAAACUCUGUUAUUAGGGAAGAGCAAAUGUGUAAGUAACUAUGCACGUCUUGACGGUACCUAAUCAGAAAGCCACGGCUAACUACGUG
rnacentral:rRNA from 1 species